rnacentral:tRNA from 1 species
GGAGCCAUAGCGAAGUGGCAACGCGUCUGUCUUCUAAACAGAAGAUCGUGGGUUCGAUCCCCACUGGUUCCG